GGAAAUUAUUGGGCGGUGCCGCGGCGGUCAGCUGACGUACAGAUAAGCCAAUCAGACCGCUAGAGGGGGUGGGGCCUGUAUGAAGCCGGAAGCUCUGAGCAUCCCGGAAGCAAGUGGGGGCGAGCAUCACGUGUGCUAGCGGGAGCGGUAUACAGAGGGGCCCCUGGGGGCUCAUGUGGGGCAGCGGGGUUCUGCGGCUCAGCAGAGAGGUCUGCCGGUUAGGGAGGCUGCAGGGGCACCUCAUCAUGUCCUCCAAUAACUUCUGCCGCUCUUCAUCUUCUGCCGAGAGUAGCGAAUCGGCCACCGGGACUGUCACCGCCGGCAUCAUCAUCAUCGGGGACGAGAUCCUGAAGGGCCACACUCAGGACACGAACUCCUACUUCAUGUGUAAGAAGCUGCGCUCCAUCGGGGUGAGGGUCAGCAGGAUCUCGGUCAUCCCGGACGACGUGGACUCCAUCGCGGGGAGAUCGCAGCCUUCUCCUCCCGUUACACAUACGUCCUGACC